GAUGGUGAACUAUGCCUGAAUAGGGCGAAGCCAGGGGAAACCCUGGUGGAAGCCCGCAGCGAUUCUGACGUGCAAAUCGAUCGUCAAAUUUGGGUAUAGGGGCGAAAGACUAAUCGAACCGUCUAGUAGCUGGUUCCCUCCGAAGUUUCCCUCAGGAUAGCUGGAGCCCGGUGCAGUUUUAUCAGGUAAAGCGAAUGAUUAGAGGUCUUGGGGUCGAAACGACCUCAACCUAUUCUCAAACUUUAAAUGGGUAAGAGGUCCGGCUUGCUCGGUUGAAGUCGGACGCGGAAUGCCGGGGCUCCUAGUGGGCCAUUUUUGGUAAGCAGAACUGGCGAUGUGGGAUGAACCGAAAGCCGGGUUAAGGUGCCCGAAUCGACGCUCAGCAGAUACCAGGAAG
rnacentral:rRNA from 1 species